CGACCCUUGUCCUUAGUUACCAGCACGUUAUGGUGGGCACUCUAAGGAGACUGCCGGUGACAAACCGGAGGAAGGUGGGGAUGACGUCAAGUCAUCAUGGCCCUUACGGCCUGGGCUACACACGUGCUACAAUGGUCGGUACAAAGGGUUGCCAAGCCGCGAGGUGGAGCUAAUCCCAUAAAACCGAUCGUAGUCCGGAUCGCAGUCUGCAACUCGACUGCGUGAAGUCGGAAUCGCUAGUAAUCGUGAAUCAGAAUGUCACGGUGAAUACGUUCCCGGGCCUU
rnacentral:rRNA from 1 species